UACGGGGGGGAGCAAGCGUUGUUCGGAUUUACUGGGCGUAAAGGGCGCGUAGGCGGCGCAACAAGUCACUUGUGAAAUCUCCGGGCUUAACUCGGAAAGGUCAAGUGAUACUGUUGUGCUAGAGUGCGGAAGGGGCAACUGGAAUUCUCGGUGUAGCGGUGAAAUGCGUAGAUAUCAUUUGGAACGCCAAUGGUGAAAACAGGUAGCUGGGAGUGUGCUGACGCUGAGACACGAAAGCCAGGGGAGCAAACGGG
rnacentral:rRNA from 1 species